UACGUAGGAUCCGAGCGUUGUCCGGAAUUAUUGGGCGUAAAGGGUGCGUAGGCGGUUUGGUAAGUCUGAUGUGAAAUCUAUGGGCUCAACUCAUAGUCUGCAUCGGAAACUGCCGGGCUUGAGUGUGGGAGAGGUGAGUGGAAUUCCUGGUGUAGCGGUGAAAUGCGUAGAUAUCAGGAGGAACACCUGUGGCGAAAGCGGCUCACUGGACCAUAACUGACGCUGAUGCACGAAAGCUAGGGGAGCAAACAGG
rnacentral:rRNA from 1 species